rnacentral:lncRNA from 1 species
AUUUUGCUUUGGACAGUAUCAUUCCUCGCUGUCUUGAACACGCCGCAACUUUUGACAACAUAAUGGACUUCACUCGCCUCAUGGCCCUCAACUCUCUCUUCUCCAUAUGUUACAACAAACGAUCUCUCAUACAAUCAGUCACACCCAGACUUCCCCAUGCUCUCUGAUCAGACCGAGGCUUACAUUCCACACUACCUUAUAUUCUGUUUGAUCUGGUGCUUCUCUGGAGAUGAGAAGAUGGUCUAUCGGGAAAAGAUGGUUGACUUUAUAUGAGGGAUGACUACAAUACCCCUACCACCUGGUACAGCAUCCAUCAUUGAUUUUGAAGUUAAUAUUCAAGGAGAGUGGGUACUGUGGUCUAACAGAGUACCCAAGAUUGAGGUUGAGACUCAUAAAGUAGGAUCUCCUCAUGUACCAAUUCUUCAUACACUGAGACAUGAGAGUCUCCUUUAUACAUGGUUGGCGGAGCAUAAGCCAGUGGUACGUACUGUGAGCCUAUGUGGUCCACCAGGUUCUAGUAAAACCAUUGUACUGUUCUCUGCAUGCUCUUUGUGCACUACCUGCUUUUGAAGUACACAGAGAGCAAUAUCGUUCUUCUUACCUCAGAUUGUGUAGCACGGUGGAUUUUACAGGACCUCAGAUCAUCUGUGGGUGACAAUAGAGAGGAUACAGUUUGUUGGAGCUUGUAACCGACUGACUGACCCAGGGAGGAAGACAUGCACUGUC